rnacentral:rRNA from 1 species
UGCGAGUCGAAUGUAGCAAUACAUGGCGUACUGCUCAGUAACACGUGGACAACCUACCCUCCGGACGGGUAUAAACCCGGGAAACUGGGUAUAAUCCCCGAUAGAUCUCGGUCGCUGGAAAGCCCCGAGAUCGAAAGCUCCGGCGCCAGAGGAUGGGUCUGCGGCCUAUCAGGUAGUAGUGGGUGUAGCGUACCUACUAGCCUACGACGGGUACGGGUUGUGAGAGCAAGAGCCCGGAGAUGGAUUCUGAGACACGAAUCCAGGCCCUACGGGGUGCAGCAGGCGCGAAAACUUUACAAUGCCGGCAACGGCGAUAAGGGGACCUCGAGUGCCAGGUUACAAAUCUGGCUGUCGUGAUGCCUAAAAAGCAUUGCAUAGCAAGGGCCGGGCAAGACCGGUGCCAGCCGCCGCGGUAACACCGGCGGCUCGAGUGGUAACCGUUAUUAUUGGGUCUAAAGGGUCUGUAGCCGGCCGGAUAAGUCUCUUGAGAAAUCCAGCAGCUCAACUGUUGGGCUUUCAGGAGAUACUGUCUGGCUCGAGGCCGGGAGAGGUGAGAGGUACUUCAGGGGUAGGGGUGAAAUCUUGUAAUCCUUGAAGGACCACCAGUGGCGAAGGCGUCUCACCAGAACGGACCUGACGGCAAGGGACGAAAGCUAGGGGCACGAACCGGAUUAGAUACCCGGGUAGUCCUAGCCGUAAACGAUACUCGCUAGGUGUCGGCCACGGUGCGACCGUUGUCGGUGCCGUAGGGAAGCCGUGAAGCGAGCCACCUGGGAAGUACGGCCGCAAGGC